rnacentral:rRNA from 1 species
AGAUUGAACGCUGGCGGCAGGCCUAACACAUGCAAGUCGAGCGGUAGAGAGGUGCUUGCACCUCUUGAGAGCGGCGGACGGGUGAGUAAUGCCUAGGAAUCUGCCUAGUGGUGGGGGAUAACGUUCGGAAACGGACGCUAAUACCGCAUACGUCCUACGGGAGAAAGCGGGGGACCUUCGGGCCUCGCGCCAUUAGAUGAGCCUAGGUCGGAUUAGCUAGUUGGUGAGGUAAUGGCUCACCAAGGCGACGAUCCGUAACUGGUCUGAGAGGAUGAUCAGUCACACUGGAACUGAGACACGGUCCAGACUCCUACGGGAGCGGCAGUGGGGAAUAUUGGACAAUGGGACAAAGCCUGAUCCAGCCAUGCCGCGUGUGUAGAAGUAAGUCGUUACGGAUUAGUAAAGCUAACGUUUUAAGUGGGAAGGUAAGGUUUGUAAACUUAAGUACGUUGACUAACGUUUGACGUUACGACAAGAAUAAGCACCGGCUAAACGUUCGUAGCCCAAGCCAGCCG